AUUGAACGCUGGCGGCAGGCCUAACACAUGCAAGUCGAGCGGAUGAAGUGAGCUUGCUCCUGGAUUCAGCGGCGGACGGGUGAGUAAUGCCUAGGAAUCUGCCUGGUAGUGGGGGAUAACGUCCGGAAACGGGCGCUAAUACCGCAUACGUCCUGAGGGAGAAAGUGGGGGAUCUUCGGACCUCACGCUAUCAGAUGAGCCUAGGUCGGAUUAGCUAGUUGGUGGGGUAAAGGCCUACCAAGGCGACGAUCCGUAACUGGUCUGAGAGGAUGAUCAGUCACACUGGAAAUGAGAAACGGUCCAGACUCCUACGGGAGGCAGCAGUGGGGAAUAUUGGACAAUGGGCGAAAGCAUGAUCCAGCCAUGCCGCGUGUGUGAAGAAGGUAUUCGGAUUGUAAAGCACUUUAAGUUGGGAGGAAGGGCAGUAAGUUAAUACCUUGCUGUUUUGACGUUACCAACAGAAUAAGCACCGGCUAACUUCGUG
rnacentral:rRNA from 1 species